CUGGGGAAACCGUAUCUGAUGGGAAAACGCGAAUCGACGUAACACCUGUAUCUAUCCUUAGCUACGGUACCUGCUGGCCAAUGAGAUGAGCCGAAAUAUUCUGUCAGCUCAUUGGUCACAGAGCAGGAUAUGGCUGGUAAUGAAUUUACCGUGAUGUUAAAUAUAAAGCACCCCAUCAUUUAUUGAUUCUAUUGACAUUUUAGUGAAGAUUUUUGAUCCACGUAAUAAUACGGGACUACGUGCGUCCCGUUUCAGCUCAAUACGGGACGCGUACUUUUUAUUCUAAAUACGGGACGAUUCCGUUUUUCAAGGGACGGUUGGCAACUCUACCUCCAGUGGCCCUCUGGCUGCAAUUUCAGGAAUACUGUCUGCAUGAAAAACAAAAGGUUUCUCUUUUGCUGCCAAUUGGAUUCUGAUAACAAGAUUAUCAGUGUAAUUCACUUCACCUCUCAGUGUUUAUAAUGUUAUGGCUUAUUUAUUUAUUUUUGGUAAUAGUUAUAGUAAAGGGUAAAUAGCAUAAAACGUAUGAAAGAAAAAGGUUAUUUUGAAAGAAAACCCGCGCAUUUAUCUAAAGUUCAAUUUUCAGGCGGGCACCAAUAGGUAACAGAGGAGUCUGAUGACGAUUGGUCUGAUCCUGCCGCUGACAGCUAAUCAAAGCUAGCUGGACACUAUCGUCUGUUGAGAGGUUGGCGCAGCAGACUCAUUCGACUCGACCAUCUAUUGUGAAUACGAAGACAGGCACGAAUUGCGUCCCGACGAAAGGACUGAACGUGUUUUCACCCUUCGUCCAUUAGAAAGAUAAACCGCUUCCCAAAUUGAGCAUACACAAUCUAAUGGUCUGUACAGAAUAUCAGCGAAUCACCAACCAGAAACUAAAGACUGAACUGUAUGCUGCAUUGGACAGUCACACAAGCAGUUUGCUGGCUUUAGCCUGAGGGAUGCAGGGGAAAUCCGAUCAGUGCCCAGAAGAUCUCAUCAGUUUUAAAGACAUACUCUGAGCAAACACAAAACAUCUGGGUUGACCGGGUUGCAUCUCUUCGGUGUCUACCACUGCAUCUUCAAGAUGACACAGAGCUUUUCUACACCUGUAAGGAGGGUGAAGACCAAGGGCCUUCCAUUAAGAGAUCUGCUGCCAUUGUGUCCAUCAUUGGUGAUAGCAAGGAUAUGAACACUGUGCCAUUCCAUCCUCAAGAAGUCAAGGUCUUUCUCCAGGAGCAGGUUGUUUUGCAAGGGACUAAAUGCUGGCCAGAUGCAAUAAUGCAUUUAUAUGGCUUGCUUAAUGUUAUCCAGGCUGAAUACCCAAAAGAAAUGACCUACACAUUUGAGUUUAUUAAGAAAGUCCUCCUGAAUGUAGAUGGUGAAAAACCCAAACCAAAGACACUGUCUUUAAAAAAUAAGCUCUAAUGUACAAAGGCAGUGUCACAAAUGAAUUAAAGGUCUGUUGAGGUUAUAAGUGACCCAGGUCAUGGUUAUACAGCAAAAGUUCAAUCGAGGGCAACUGGACUGGUUAAGAUUUCUUUAAGGUGCUUUAAGACAACAAACCUCCUCUGUUGAGUGAAAGCUGUUCACUGUGGGUGUAGAUUGUGUCUUUGAAACUUCUUUCAAACCAGCUUUCCUCCCUGUCUAACAUCUGGAUCUUGUGGCUUUCAGAAAAGUUUCAGUUAUCUUUCAGAUGUAAGUAAACUGCCGAGUCUUGUUCUGAGGAGUUUUCUCCUCUGUGUUGGGCCAUGCUUUUGUGAAAAGGUUGUUUCCUUUUACCAACAUGAUGUGUAGAUCUGUAUAUUAGGGAAAUGUAACAAAGCAACAAACAAAAGGCCCACUUAUCCCCCAUUUAACAACACAAUCCUUGUUUCCAUAGUCAUUGUUUACAAAGAAACUCUUGUAAAUGCUCACAGUCGGCAAUUGAUGGUCAUUCAGACCACCUGAUCCUAUGGUUUUCCAAUGACUAGUUAAAACAGCCAGAAGCACUAACAAACCAUUUGGAUGGAUCAUGGUUACUUGUACCUAAUUAAAACUAAACAGCUACCAUUCAGUCAAGCAAAAGAAGCUCUUCCGAUGAGGGACGAAAGGUCUUCAAGACACCUUAACCAAUCCAGUUGAUCCUUGAUCAAACAAAGUUUAAAUAAGCAAGUAAGAAGUGUUUGAGUGUUACUUUACAUAAUUUGUCCAUCAGAGAAAAGUGACUGCAGAUUUUAGCAGAUAUGUGGCUUGGUGGAUAGUAAUGUUCAUCUGUUGCAUACUAAUGAAGACCCACAGUAGGCAUUAUGUAUCCGUACAUGUGUGUUCUGAUCAGCUUAAGUUGGGUAAUUGUUUCAGACUAACAGGUCUUAUUUUCCAUGGCCCAAUAUGUGUGACACAUUCAUUAGCGCGCACACUUUUGUAAAAGCACAUAUUGUAUUGUGAAGAGAAAAUAUACAUUUGAGCUAACAAAAAUUAGUUGUUUGCUAAACUCUUGUUUCUGCACUUGCCACUCAGUGCCUGUGCACAACUCCUUCUCCGUGCUCGCUCACUUCUAACUCUGAGAGUACUUUUAACUCCGCUCUCGCUCAGCUUGUCACAGCUUUACAGUGUGCCGCAAAAAUCCGUCAAUCACCGGCUCAGAGAAGGUAAACCUGAUUGGCUGUUUGGUAUGCAAUUGGUUGCUAGCUUCCAAGAAAAAGAUAGAGAGAAUUUGGAUGGCACAAUGCAUUCUGGGCGUUGAUUACAUCAGAUGAAACAGGUAGUAUUUUUUUUGUUAUACUAAUUAAAGUCAGAUUUUGCUAAAUGUUUUGGUGUAAAAUGGUGGUCAUAAUAGUUUAAUUAUCUACCAAGCCUGGUCAAUGCAAGGACUCAUCCUUUUUUAGUUGUCCUUGGCUAGACUAAUUAAUACACAAAACAAUCAUACUUUUUUAAUUACCAAAAAAAAAAGAGAAUACUAGCGCUGGUCAACCUGAGCGCCUUCGCUUAGGAAUUUGUCCCAUAUUGUGCCAUAAUUUUCUUUUUUCUAUAUUUUCUACUUUUUGGGUUUGUUUUAAUUAGAAACUUAUCUUUAUUGUUUAGCUUUUUGUUAAGCAGAGCGCACAGAUAUUUAUGUUUGUUGUUUAUUUCCAUCAUUGUGGUGUUAUAUUGUUGUUAAGGUCUGCUAAAUAAAGUAGAUACAAUUUA